GGUAAGUACGGGCCGGGAGCCGGGGGAAGAGGGGGGAGGUAAGCGUGGUCCGGAUUUGUUGGGCGGAAAGAGUUCGGAGGCGGGUGGUUAAGUCUGAUGUUAAAGAUCGGGGCCCAACCCUGGGAGUGCAUUGGAUACUGGCGAACUGGGGUGCAGUAGAGGCGAGUGGAAUUCCCAGUGUAGCGGUGAAAUGCGUAGAUAUUGGGAAGAACACCGGUGGCGUAGGCGACUCGCUGGGCUGUAACUGACGCUGAGGAACGAAAGCCAGGGGAGCGAAUGGGAUUAGAUACCCUGGUAGUC
rnacentral:rRNA from 1 species